rnacentral:rRNA from 1 species
UGAGCAAUCUGCCCUUCUCAUCGGAAUAAGCGUUGGAAACGACGUCUAAUGCCGAAUACGACCUCCUUUCACAUGAUCGGAGGUGGAAAGCUCCGGCGGAGAAGGAUGAGCUCGCGGCCUAUCAGCUAGUUGGUGUGGGUAACGGCCCACCAAGGCGACGACGGGUAGCCGGCCUGAGAGGGUGACCCGGCCACACUGGGACUGAGACACGGCCCAGACUCCUACGGGAGNAG